UACGGGGGGGGCAAGCGUUGUUCGGAAUUACUGGGCGUAAAGGGCUCGUAGGUGGCCAACUAAGUCAGACGUGAAAUCCCUCGGCUUAACCGGGGAACUGCGUCUGAUACUGGAUGGCUUGAGUGUGGGAGAGGGAUGCGGAAUUCCAGGUGUAGCGGUGAAAUGCGUAGAUAUCUGGAGGAACACCGGUGGCGAAGGCGGCAUCCUGGACCAUUACUGACACUGAAUAGCGAAAGCCGGGGGAGCAAACGGG
rnacentral:rRNA from 1 species